AGCAGCCGCGGUAAUUCCAGCUCCAAUAGCGUAUAUUAAAGUUGUUGCAGUUAAAAAGCUCGUAGUUGAAUUUCGGGGUCAGCAGGUUGGUCGUGCCAACGGUAUGUACUGGCUUUGCUGAUUCCUCCUUCUUGUAGAACUGUAAUGCCAUUAAUUUGGUGUUGCAGGGAAACAGGACUGUUACUUUGAAAAAAUUAGAGUGUUUAAAGCAGGCUUACGCUUGAAUACAUUAGCAUGGAAUAAUGAAAUAGGACGUUGAUCCUAUUUUGUUGGUUUCUAGGAUUGACGUAAUGAUUAAUAGGGAUAGUUGGGGGCAUUAGUAUUCAAUUGUCAGAGGUGAAAUUCUUGGAUUUAUUGAAGACUAACUACUGCGAAAGCAUUUGCCAAGGAUGUUUUCAUUAAUCAAGAACGAAAGUUAGGGGAUCGAAGACGAUCAGAUACCGUCGUAGUCUUAACCAUAAACUAUGCCGACUAGGGAUCGGAUGAUGUUAAUUUUUAAUGACUCAUUCGGCGCCUUACG
rnacentral:rRNA from 1 species